GGUGGGCCCGCGACCUAUCAGCUUGUCGGUGGGGUAACGGCCUACCGAGGCUCUGACGGGUAGCUGGUCUGAGAGGACGACCAGCCACACGGGGACUGAGACACGGCCCCGACUCCUACGGGAGGCAGCAGUAAGGAAUCUUCCGCAAUGGGCGAAAGCCUGACGGAGCGACGCCGCGUGUGGGAUGAAGUCUCUCGGGAUGUAAACCACUGUCGGAGGGGAAGAGAAUGGACGGUACCCUCCAAGAAAGCCCCGGCUAACUACGUGCCAGCAGCCGCGGUAAUACGUAGGGGGCAAGCGUUACUCGGACUCACUGGGCGUAAAGCGCGUGUAGGCGGCUGGUCAAGCGUGAUGUGAAAUCUCCGGGCUUAACCCGGAAACUGCAUCGCGAACUGGCCUGGCUGGAGUGCAGGAGAGGGAUGUGGAAUUCCCGGUGUAGCGGUGAAAUGCGUAGAUAUCGGGAGG
rnacentral:rRNA from 1 species